rnacentral:rRNA from 1 species
GACGAACGCUGGCGGCGUGCCUAAUACAUGCAAGUCGAGCGAGCUUGCCUAGAUGAAUUUGGUGCUUGCACCAAAUGAAACUAGAUACAAGCGAGCGGCGGACGGGUGAGUAACACGUGGGUAACCUGCCCAAGAGACUGGGAUAACACCUGGAAACAGAUGCUAAUACCGGAUAACAACACUAGACGCAUGUCUAGAGUUUAAAAGAUGGUUCUGCUAUCACUCUUGGAUGGACCUGCGGUGCAUUAGCUAGUUGGUAAGGUAACGGCUUACCAAGGCAGUGAUGCAUAGCCGAGUUGAGAGACUGAUCGGCCACAUUGGGACUGAGACACGGCCCAAACUCCUACGGGAGGCAGCAGCAGGGAAUCUUCCACAAUGGACGCAAGUCUGAUGGAGCAACGCCGCGUGAGUGAAGAAGGGUUUCGGCUCGUAAAGCUCUGUUGGUAGUGAAGAAAGAUAGAGGUAGUAACUGGCCUUUAUUUGACGGUAAUUACUUAGAAAGUCACGGCUAACUACGUGCCAGCAGCCGCGGUAAUACGUAGGUGGCAAGCGUUGUCCGGAUUUAUUGGGCGUAAAGCGAGUGCAGGCGGUUCAAUAAGUCUGAUGUGAAAGCCUUCGGCUCAACCGGAGAAUUGCAUCAGAAACUGUUGAACUUGAGUGCAGAAGAGGAGAGUGGAACUCCAUGUGUAGCGGUGGAAUGCGUAGAUAUAUGGAAGAACACCAGUGGCGAAGGCGGCUCUCUGGUCUGCAACUGACGCUGAGGCUCGAAAGCAUGGGUAGCGAACAGG